UACAGAGGGUGCAAGCGUUGUUCGGAAUUACUGGGCGUAAAGCGCGUGUAGGCGGGUCUUUAAGUCAGGGGUGAAAUGCCAAGGCUCAACCUUGGAACUGCCUUUGAUACUGGAGACCUUGAGUCCGGGAGAGGUGAGUGGAAUUGCGAGUGUAGAGGUGAAAUUCGUAGAUAUUCGCAAGAACACCAGUGGCGAAGGCGGCUCACUGGCCCGGAACUGACGCUGAGACGCGAAAGCGUGGGGAGCAAACAGG
rnacentral:rRNA from 1 species